UUCACUUUUUUUAAACAUAUUAAUUAAUUUUUUAAUCUGUUCUUAUCAGUUUAAUACCAGAUAUAUCCUUUAUUUGAGGACUAUAUAUUAAAUUGAUUUUUGAAACUGGGGGAUGGAAUAGGAGCUUGCUCUGUCCAACCCAUGCAUUGACCUGGUAUUGCAAUGACUCUGGGAACAGUGCAUCUCCU